rnacentral:lncRNA from 1 species
CUAAAUUGUUAUCCCUGGAUUAUUAUCCUGCCUAUAUCUUUUACUAGCCGACAAAUCGCUUAAUGUUCAGUCUCAGUCCUCUCACCUAUUUGGUCACGGUCAUAUGGAGCAAUCUGCUUCCUGUUGUCUAUAGCCCACCGUCACAGACAGGGUACCUUGUAAAGACUUGUUAUUUAAAUCCAAGACUGUGGGGCUACCUCAGGGGCUGGACUUCCUGCUGGCAGAGUUCUGAUAGCACAUCCCUCAGAGGGAUGUGUGUGUAUACGUCUCCUAGCCUCUCAGGGCUUACAAAGUCAUCAGAAUCCAACCUGAUGACCUCAUCGCUUUCCUACACCCCACCCCCCACAUGCCAUAGUUAAACGAAGCUCCCCCUCUCUUAAUAUUUCACAUUAGGGUUAAAAUUUCAAUCCAGGAAACUGUAGGGGACAGCCUGAAAUCAUAUCAGAACACCAGCUCCAUGUGUAAGUAAAAGGGGUGUUCAUGAGACCUGGAGCCACAAGGAACAUAAAAGCUGUAGAGCUGCCUGUGAGCUGUGAGCAUGUGAGCUGUAGAGCUGCCUGCUUGAGGGUGAUUGGCAGGCAGGUGGGAGAGGCUGAACACUCCAGAGGGAUGUCUCCACUUCCACAGUUCUCGCCUUCCCUCUUCAGUUCUGGCACCCACAUCCUUUUAGUGGAAGCUCCAACUUUGCACCCCCGAUUCUCUCAUGUCACAAUGGUAGACAUCGUCUUGGAAUAGCAUGUACACAGGCAAGCUUCACUUUGCCCACCCUCCAUGUUUAUUUCCUGCCCCUUCUCUUCUUUUAGCCGCUAGAAUUAUGGGACGAGAAUUCAUGGCAGUUAAUAAGUCAAUUAAAUUUCAUUUAGUUUACAAAAAGCCUCCAUUCUAAAACCUUCCAAGAAACAAAAGCCCAUAUACACACACACACACACACACACACACACACACACACACACACACACAAAUUGCAGCACUUCGUUCUGAACAAACAAUUUCUUUUUAUGUUUUAUUGUUUUUAUAUCCUAAAAGGACAGAAAUCCGCCAUUGUUGGAAUUUCCAUAAUUUAAGAGCAAUCAUUUGCCUUUUCUAAUUUGUCCUAACGAGCUCUCGUUUUUUUUUUCUUUAUCAGAC